GCCGUGGCUCAAUGGUCAAGCAUCAGCUUUGCAUUCAUAAGGUCCCAGGUUUGAUCCCCGGCAUCUCCA